rnacentral:rRNA from 1 species
UACGGGGGUCCAAGCGUUGUUCGGAAUCACUGGGCGUAAAGCGCAGGUAGGUGGCUUUCAAGUCUGUUGUGAAAGCCCAGGGCCUAACCCUGGAAGUGCAGCAGAUACUGUUAAGCUUGAGUAUGGGAGAGGAUAGUGGAAUUCCUGGUGUAGUGGUGAAAUACGUAGAUAUCAGGAGGAACACCGGUGGCGAAGGCGGCUAUCUGGCCCAAUACUGACGCUGAGCUGCGAAAGCGUGGGGACAAACAGG